AAGAAAAACAACAGAAAAAAGCUGCUAACUCUUUCUCAAGCAAUUAUUAAUUGCUUUUUUCUUA
rnacentral:tRNA from 1 species